rnacentral:tRNA from 1 species
UCCCUCAUGGUCUAGUGGCUAAGACUCUGUUCUUCCAAUUCAGGGGGCCCGGGUUUGAUCCCUGGUCAAGGAA